GACACCAACCCUUACCCUUCUAUAAAUCCAGCUGCUUCUCCCCCCACCUUUGCUUCUACCUCACCCACACCCACUGUUCUUGGCCAUAGCUGCCUACUCCCAUGGUCUCCUCGUCCUUGCCCUUGUGCUCGAUCGAUCACCAGCCGAGCUGAUUUUUCUCUUCUGCUUGAUCUCUACCUCUGACAUGCAUCUGAAGACCGGAGAGCAUCUGCAUCUGCCUAUAUCAUCCGGUCAUGGAUAUGGAUAGAUGACCGGCCUGUUCAUGUCUGAAGAAAAAUCAAAGGUUUGGUUUUGAUCGGCUUGAGAGCGUGCCUGGCUCCCUGUAUGCCACUCAUGUAGCCCAAUCCAUGGUGUGUUUGGAUGCUGUGGGUGGCGUGCAAGGAGCCAAGCAUGCGUGCCAUGAUCUCUCUUUCUGCCUUAAUUCAGUUUCAGACAUGUGUAGUUGGAUUUGUUUCCUCUAGGUGUUCAUGUUAAUUACAUAUUUCAUGUUGAUUUUGCCCGUUUGGAUAUGUGUUUGUCUGCUUGGUUUCGAAUUGUUUUAGCAGGGGGGCAGAACUAAUCAAGGAUACUGCAAAUCGUUGGAAUUAAUUUCUUGUUCAAUCUUGAUCCAGAUAACUAUGAGAGCUUUUAAUCACAACGAGAAAAGCUAAAACCAAAAUGCGGGACUGAUGAUCAGCAUGGAGAGCAGCCUCAAUUUAUUUGUAGACGCUCAAGAUUACUUGCAGAUCUGUCAGAAGUAAUACUGCCACAAUGAGGAUGUUUUAUGGUUAUAUAGGCUAAAAUAUAUAUGAGUAAUAUUCCAUGCAUGUCUAUCAGCAUUGUAACUAGCUAUACAGGAUAAAAAUUCACAAAAAUUCAUACAGAAUCUCUCUUCGAUAUAUUCCCUACUAGCAGAUAGCUGAACCCUGAAUAGAGCUUUGCAAGGUUGCAGUUAGCAGGUACAAGGCUCUGAGAGGAGUACAAACGAGUACUUUCCAAUAUAUGCAUUUGUCUGAUAGAUAUGUACACAGUGACACAGUUUGUGAUGCUGCUGGUAAAAGUCGUUCACUUCUGAAACUUGCUGAAUCAGCUGCAGUUCGUUCUGCAAAGUUAAAAUUGCACUCCGCUGCUCCAAUUAAGCGAGCAAGCUUCUGUAUCCAUGCAUCUUGAAUUAAACUAUACUCAAGCUUCUAUACACGCUUUUUUUUUUGUAGGGAACAAAAAAUGUGGGAUUCGAUGCUAAGGAGAAACUUAGCAUCACAGAGAGGAAAAAUGGUGAGAAAACCCACGCACGAGAGGGGACUCGAACUCAGACACACCUUAAGUUUUACCUCCUUAUACCCGACAUAUAUCUUUUCAUAAAAGAAAGUGAGAGUACCCAAACUAACCUUAAUAUGUUGGAAUAUAAUAGAAAACUUUUUUUUAUGUUUGAUUUUUUUAUCUCUUCGGUUUUUUAAGGUACGACUGUACGGCGUACAUGCCUCUCACUAGAUAUACAAGCGUACAAAUGCAUAGCCAAUAUUACUUAUAUGUUGACAUAGAGGUAAUAUACAAAGUCUCGCUAUUGCCAAUCGUAAA